AUGAUGGAGGAAGAUGAGGAGACGAUGAAGCACAAAGUUCUUGUGGAGAAACCUCUGCACCCACAAGAUGACAUGGUCAGUGUGGGGUUUUCUCCUCAAAUCAUCAUGCGCACAGCAGUGGCCCGAGUGUCCGAUAGAGUUCUCCCAGAGGCCAGGAUUGAGCCUGCUCUGACAAAUGCCACAUGCUGCCCAAAAAGAGUAAUUAAAAACAAACUAAUCAACCCAUUACUCAGGAAGCCCAACCCAUUCUCUCUUUUUUCUUAUUAUACAUGUCAUUCUUUCACACCACACAAUUUUAUAAAAGCUGUAAUUGAUUUGCAUAAAUGCAGAGAGAGAACAGAGAGGGCUGUGAACAGGAAGAGGCCUGCAAUUGUGACUGCUCGAGCAUACAAACCAUGGUUUCAGUGGUGGAGGUGUCAACUAUCAAUGGAUGAUUAUCUUGAUUACAUUUCCAAUCAGGACUCUGAUUAUCUGUCAGUGCUGUUUCACUUGUAUGACAGUGAUGAUGAUGAAGAGGCAGAGAGACACAAGCUGGCUCAGCUGCAGCGAGAUGAGAGGAGCAGAAGGCAACAGGAAAGGAUCAGUUCACUUAGGAGACAGAAACAAGAAUUUGUUCCUGGAUUCUGGAGAUGGGAGGAUUGGGAAAGGAACCAGAACUGGAUGAGAAGGACAGUGACUAGACAUGGCCAUCAAAUACAGUUCUCAUGAGUGCAGGCGCCAUCUGCAGGAGGCAAUUGCUGCAUGGGAGGAGGUUGCUCGCUUGAUCCAGAAGAGAGAGAGCUCUUGCUGUACAAGUUGGAGGACUUUGAGAGGGAGGCAUCUGACCCCAACAGAUUUUUCCAGCGAGGUAGAUCAGAUGCACAGCAUAAUGAAUUCUGACCCUUGAAAUAUGCAUGUACAGAUUUAGAGAUAAUCUUUUGAAUCAAUUACAUUUAUUUUUUCAUACAUUUAUUUAUUUAUUUGUGAAAAUGAGCAUUUUGUUUUAGUGUGUAUAAUACACACACACGGCAUUCUAAAAUAUUAAAAACUAAAAAUAACUAUGUGAAGUAAUCAUUUCCAAAAAUAAUUGCAUAUUAAAUACAUAUUGUACUACACACUGGAUAUAUUAUUAUAUUAUUAGUUUUUAUUAAUAUUUUGAAGGUUUUUAUUUUUAUAUUUUCAGUUUACAUUUUAAUUUUACUUAGUUUUAGUAAUUUUGUUGUGUUUUGUCAUUUUUAUUAUUAUAAACUUUAAUAAAAUGUUGUUGUUUUACA
ensembl:lncRNA